rnacentral:rRNA from 1 species
GAUGAACGCUGGCGGCGUGCUUAACACAUGCAAGUCGAACGAAGAUGCCGGAGUGCUUGCACUUUGGCAGACUGAGUGGCGGACGGGUGAGUAACGCGUGGGUAACCUGCCUUAUACAGGGGGAUAACAGUUGGAAACGACUGCUAAUACCGCAUAAGCGCACGGUAUCGCAUGAUACAGUGUGAAAAACUCCGGUGGUAUAAGAUGGACCCGCGUCUGAUUAGCUAGUUGGUGGGGUAACGGCCUACUAAGGCGACGAUCAAUAGCCGACCUGAGAGGGUGACCGGCCACAUUGGGACUGAGACACGGCCCAAACUCCUACGGGAGGCAGCAGUGAGGAAUAUUGGUCAAUGGACGAGAGUCUGAACCAGCCAAGUAGCGUGAAGGAUGAAGGUCCUACGGA